CGCAAGCCUGACGGAGCAAGACCGCGUGAGGGAGGAAGGCUCUUGGGUUGUAAACCUCUUUUCUCAGGGAAGAAGCUCUGACGGUACCUGAGGAAUAAGCCUCGGCUAACUCCGUGCCAGCAGCCGCGGUAAUACGGAGGAGGCAAGCGUUAUCCGAAAUUAUUGGGCGUAAAGCGUCCGCAGGUGGCGAUUCAAGUCUGCUGUCAAAGCCAGGAGCUCAACUCCUGUCCGGCAGUGGAAACUGAAUGGCUAGAGUGCCGUAGGGGUAGAGGGAAUUCCCGGUGUAGCGGUGAAAUGCGUAGAGAUCGGGAAGAACAUCGGUGGCGAAAGCGCUCUACUGGACGGCAACUGACACUCAGGGACGAAAGCUAGGGGAGCG
rnacentral:rRNA from 1 species